CUGACGAGAGUCUGGCGGCUUUCUUACAGAGGAGAGGCAGCGGCGGCGGAGAUGGACUCACACCUCUGAUUACUGCUCAUCCUCCUGUCAGCUUUUCUCGCAGAUCUGGAACGGCUACAUUUCACAGACGGGAUUUUUGUUGGUUCUGGACGGACAGACUGCAGCCACCUGAACGCAGGAAGGAAAGAUUUUUAGUUACAUUCCGACGCUCAGUUCUGUGGUCUCACCUGUACUGCCGGUGGGGAGACUCGCUGCGAUCAUAAUGCAUCCGAAUAAGUGCUUACCUGAACUGAUGGCCGAGAAAAACAGCCUGGACCCUUCUUUUGUUCAUGCGGUUCGGCUUCUAGCAGAGGAGAUUGGGAAAUAUGAAGGUGAUGAGCUGAAAAAAGACGCGGACACAAAGAAAUACCUUGAUAUUAUCAGCAAUAAAAACAUCAAGCUCUCUGAAAGAGUUCUUAUUCCUAUCCAACAGUAUCCGAAGUUUAACUUUGUAGGGAAGCUGCUUGGACCGCGAGGGAACUCUAUGAAAAGAUUACAAGAGGAGACAGGAGUGAAGAUGUCCAUCCUUGGCAAAGGAUCCAUGAGGGAUAAAGAAAAAGAAGAAGAAUUACGGAAAAGCGGGGAGGGCAAAUACGCCCACCUGUGUAAUGAUUUACACGUUUUAAUUGAAGUCUUCGCUCCACCAGGAGAGGCCUAUUCCCGCAUGAGUCAUGCCUUGGAGGAAAUAAAAAAAUUUCUUGUUCCAGACUACAAUGAUGAGAUCAGGCAAGAGCAGCUGAGAGAGUUAUCCCUGCUGAACGGAUCAGACGAGUCGAGCAGAGGGAGGAGCAUACAGGGCAGGAGCCUAAGGACAACAACAACAGCAUCCACAAUUGCACUGCUACCUAGAGGAGGAUGUGCCAGAGGGAAGGAAGGUGUUCUAUCCCACCUACGGGAGAACGUUAAAAAGGGCCACGGAGGUGCAAGCAGAAGAGCAGCAACACCACGAGGGACAGCCGCAGCCACACACAGCAAACUUCCCAAAACUGCUCUGACAAGGGACUUGCAAGCUCCACGGAUCAGGGGGGCAGCAGCAAACGCCGGAUACAGGCCCCCACUGUUAGCAGUCACACAUGAAUCAUAUGAUGACUAUGGCUAUGAAGACGGAUAUGAUGAAGAAUAUGAAGAUGAGACUUAUGAAGAAUAUGAUGAAAACUACAGGACUCAGACAAAGAGCAUUUCAGAAUAUUAUGAACAUGGACACGGAACCAGUGAUGAAUCAUACAACAGCUAUGAAGAAGAGUGGACAAGCCCCAGACCCAUUCUCAAAGCUCCCGCUUUACGCCUGACAAGAGGAGGCUACAGAAAACAUCCCUAUGAUACAGAAAAACACUGUAGUGUGUUGUCAUCAAAGCACAGAGAAACACUGCAGGUGAGUAGAAACAUUUGCGAUCACAUUUUCACAUCUGCCUCUAUUUAUGCCUUGGGAUAUACAAAGAUAUAAAACAUGUUAGAAACUACUAAGACAAAGAAGCAUAGCAUAACAAAAGCAGGACUUCUGACUCAUGGUUUUUUGAAGUUUCCUUUUUAUUCAUACAAGCUGGUAACUACUAGGGGUGAAGCGUUACUAUUUCCAUUUAAUAACACACCAAUUCACAAAAGUAUUAUAUAAUCCUAAAGAGAACCUGAUGAACUCCUCCUGCAAUCUUUUUAUUAAGAUAAUCCCUGCCUCUUUUUGUUCUGUAUGGACCAGGUAUUGCAUCUCUGUUUUCUGCACUUGUGUGUGCAUUUUUUCUCUCUAAAUACUGUCAGGUAAUUCUGCAAAUACUGUAAAAUGUAAUCCCCAAGGCCACAUGCUCGCUGACCUAUUCAUAAUUCAUCAGCUGCUGUACAAACCUUGAUUUAAAUGAGUACUUCUUUUUGAAAAUGUAUGUAAGGCCUAACGCCGAAGUUGCACAAAUGUGCUGAUAACACACAACAGGAUUUAUGCUCAAAGCCACCAGAGCAAAGGAUGCAGCGUCAGUUUUAUUUCGUGGGUAAAUUUCCCUUGUACUGGUGCAGUUUGGUUUGACUGCUCUAUCUGUGACAUCCAUUAACAGCUUAAUUAGACUCUGCGCUUUAGAAUAGUAGCAGUGCAAAAUUUAAGCAAAAAUAUUAAUGUUCUAAAUUUAGAACUGCUAAGCAAAACUGAAAGAUUUUUACAUGCAGCAUGAAAUUAUUAAAGAUAAAAAUAAACAAAUUUGCACCCAGAAUGUUCAGCUCCGAGACUAAGGUAUGAUCCAGAUAUGUUUCCACUUUAACUUUGUAGAAAACACAAGUUGAGAAAAAUGUUAGAGAAAAAAACAAUAAUAGUAAUUAUAAAAAGGUAUAGAUCAAUUAAAAAAAAACUUUUUGGUUGCUUUUGUGCGUCAAUACAUACCUGACUGUGAUAUUUUAUACUCACUUUGACAGCCAAUGAUUGAAAUAAUUCUUUUCAUUAUCAUAGCUUACUGUAAAGAAAAGUAGUUAUAUAACUGAAAAAUAAUAUCUAGCACUAGUGAGUCACUCAUACGGUAGUUUUUUUGUCUGACAUUGAUCAUAAAAUAAACUCUUAGUAAACUCUCGUUUUCACAGACUAGGAUCAGAAACACAAUCAACGUCAACAAGAUGUAACAUAAGCUCCUCUGAAUAUAAAUUGGCAAUAAAAUCAAAUAUGUGAAAUUAAAAUUAUUUUAUGAUUAGCUCUAAAAUAUUCAUAAAAUAUUAUGUAGAAUAUCAGUAUUAAUUCUACUAAAUCAAAAUGCUUUAUCAUUCCUGCUCCUGAAAUAUUGUGUUAAUUAUUAAAACCUUGUUAAUGUCAUCUGUUUUGAUUCAUGUACAUAAACAAUGUAACUUUAAUAACAGACAUGGGUAUUGUAGUCCUGUUUCAACCAGCUGCCAUGGUAACAGAAGGGCAUCGCUGUUUUACUCUAUGCUUCAUACAUCCAGAGCGCCUUCCUGCACUUCCUCUCAGAUCUUAUGCAUUUCUUUUUGACCAAAGAGUUUUUGUACAAUUGUCUUUUUGUGUGAGUUUUCAUGUAGAUAAUUCAAGAUGGAAGAUUCCCUUCACACAAUUUCAUCUUCGUCCAAAGAGAAAAUUCUUGGAGACAGAAGCAGACUUCAGGGGAAAAUCCAAUGUGAGACAUGAUGGAAGAUCCACAGGUAAGGAAGUGAAAUCUAAAAUUGCUUCCAUUAUUAUAUCGAAGGAGCUAUGCAUUCUAUGUAUUUGAGCAGAUUAAAUCAUGACCAAGCCAUGCCACAUGCAGAUUUGGAAUUGAAAUUGCUUUUGUUCAACCAAGGCAUUUUCUUUACAUAGAAGGAAAUAUGAUGUGAAGAGUUUAAAAAUAGAUUUUCAAUUUUUUAUUUAAACUAGAUGAAAACAAUUAUUUUAAAAAUAGGCAAAAAAAAUCUUUAUUAUUAUCCCUUUUAUAACUUUAAUGUUGAAAUGCAUCCUUGCUGUUACCCUGAUCUUAAGCUCCCACCACAGAUUAUGUUACAUUUAAGUCAGAAUUGGCUGGGCCACUUCAAAGCGUUCCAAUCAGAAAGGGCAUGUUGGUGAAAUUAAGACUAAGACUAAGUGGGUUUGUGUUUGGAUGUGUAGGAAGCCACUUAAAAGCGAGGCACCACUCAUGCAAGACGCUCUUCAGACUGUAGCCACUGAAUAGUCCUGAUAUGACCAUUGUUUCAGAUUUAUUUGUUUCUUUCUAUAAAUUUUCCCUUCAAAGAACAUAAUCCUACAUCAAACAAAAAUGUGUUCUUAUUUCUAUGCAGAUUCUUCUGUGGAGUUGUUCGUAAUGACAUGUCCUCUGAAAAUAAAAUGAAAAUAAAUAUGUAUGAUUGAUCAUAAACCUCCCACAGCUUGAGCUAAUACCAACACAUUCUGUGGUCAUGUAAUGACACCAUCUGCUCCUGGGUUCAGACUGGCUGCUAGAGAGCGAGGCGUUCUCAAUGUGCAGCAUUACGCACUCGCCAGUUUUGCUAAGCAACUGGAAACAAAUAAAUGAUGCCUGCCAAGUCUUAUGCUGAGUGUUUUUAUUUCCUUUAAUAAUUGCACCCUUAUUGCUCAUAACAACAUGAUAAAAGCUUGUUUGCAAAGGUUUAGGUGAGAGUGAGGAGCUUUAGCUUCCCCCUGUAUCCAUUUCAAGGACAAGCUGAUUGUGUCGGGCUAAAAGCUGCAUCUUCAUACAAAAAUGUCACCCUGGAUGUUGUACGUUAGUUGACAGAUUAUAACCAGGGGAUUCGCAAAGAGACAGCCAGUGGAUCGAGGGGAAUUACUGAGUCGCAGUUGAUGCUCACCCAGCCCAAAUGUCAGACCCGAGGGCUCAGACUGCUACAAACCAAGGACACAAGUGUUAUUUAUCAUACUCAUAAAAAUCCAUUUGAAGAGAUUGUUGCAUGCUUUUUUAGUAAACAUUGUAAACCAUUAUUGUAAAAAUACUAAGAGAUAGGUUGGCCUUGGGAAAAUACGCUAAAUUGUUGUGUUGUUUGUAGUUGGAUUGGAAAAUUAUGUCAGGUUAUUAAAAGAACAAAUGAUGUAAUUAAAAGAAGAAAUUUAAUCUAAAUAGUCCAUUUUGAACUGUUUAAGCGAAAAUAUCCAGGGCUAUAUAGAUGUACUCUUCAUGUAUAUAUUUUUACAUCCCUUUGUGGAACAAUGUGAAAAUACAGGUCAUUGUUGUCACAGAGGUUCGUUUAUACUGACAGUACCAAGUGAAUGUGGUAGUAAACAACUGUGAUCAAUACAAAGAAUCAAGUUUUCAUGUGAUUUAUUGGCUUUAGUAAAUAUUAUGCUAGGCAAACUACUUUUGACAGAUUGUAACGUGGAUUCUGAAGCAUUUCAUCUGGUCUGAUUGACAUUUUCCCCAAGUACUACCAUUCAGUUACAGAGAAUGUGAAAACCUUUUGACUUUUUUUUUUGGCUUCUUCCCCGCUGGUGUUGGCCGGAAUGAUGCUACUGGUAUAUACUAUACUGCAGCUCAUUUAGAGGCUAACUGGUUUGUCUGGCUCCAUCAUCAGUGUGUCAGCCUUGUCAUCAUUCCUGCCAGUUAUGGAGAAAGAUGCGGCAGUUUUUCAGAUCCCUGCAGGAUUUAGUUGGUGCCUGAAAAUGCAGUCUGGUAAUUCUAGUCCAUCACAAACUGAUUUCACAUGUUUUUGUUCCCAAAUUAUCUCAAAACCUAUGCGUUAUUCCCACAUACAGCUAAUGACUUUUGAUUUCAGCAAGAAUUUGAAACAAUUACAUGAACAGCAAAUGAUUUGUGUAAAUAUAUGCAGCGAAUAUUCUUCUGGCAUGUGCCUUUUGUGCAUCACGUGUUUAUCUCCUCUCUGUUUGUCUUACAGGCAUACUUUGUAGGAUGGGCUGAACACCUGGUGGACUAUAAAACUUUCAAGUCUGAUUGUUAUGGGCAUGGACUAUAAAAUAUCCUUUGGCUAUAUAUUUUUUAUUUUCCCUAAAAUCUACAGAGUUUGUAUUUGUAGCUUCGAGGACACAGAAUUUUAUUGUUUUCAUAAAACUUCACUUUGGUUGUUCUAAGAUAAAAUAGGGGAAAUUACCAUGGAACAUGUAAACAUUUUCUCAGUAAAUCUAUUUAUUAUGGGGCUAUUGGCAUGAAAUUCACACCUGAUUCGAGAAAAUAAUUCACACAGGUCUGUAGACUAAGUUAUGUGAAAUAAAACUGAACGGCACAGGCUAAGUACUAACAAGAAAAGUAUUUUUAGGCUAACUCCAGUUUGUUUUCCAAAGAUGAUGAACAGUUAGUUCAUCGGUAUAAUGACUUAACUGGAAUAUAAUGUUUGUGAUGAGGAGAAUUUUAUGUGAAUAUUCUCUUUAGAAAUAUAUUCACUGAGAAAGAUAUUGAUGCAUUGAAUGCUUAUUUUACAAAUUAUUAUUGUCCUCUGUUUUUUUUAUAUUUUGAAAAUCCUGAUUAUUAAAAUGGUGAGAUGUUUUCAUUUAGCGUCUGCUGUGAUUUCAGACUUGACCGACUGCACCCUGUAUCUUUACCCCAGUUGCUGUAAUAAAUGGUACACUUAGGGCUGCCAACAGGAACAUGUUAGUUCAUUAAGUAAGUCGAGCCCACUGCCAACGUCCUGGCCAAAUGUCACAGCCAGUUUACAACCCUGCUGGUAAAUCCUCCUGCUGCUCCGUACAGCUUCACUUCUAGUCAUUUCCCUGGGUCUUCAUAAUGAAUUAUGCUCUCUGUACCUCUAAAUAUGGCACACGGUAAUUAACAUCAGAGUUUGAUGGAAGCAAUACAAGGUCACUACUGUUCAAAUAAAUGUUCAUAACCGGCUUCUUUUUGAGUUUCUGUGUUCAAAUUUAAUUCACAAAACAGCUUUUCAGUCGCCUUGUGAAGCAGGCACGUCAAAACAUGUUUGAUGUGCCUAACUUGCAAUAUGAUCUUCUGCAUCAUAUUUGUUGCAGAAGAUCAUCUAUUUCUUAUUGUUUUGGAUGGAGGGGGAUUUCAUACAUCUACACAAGGUAUCCACCCCUCUCCCUCACUCUGAUAUGUGCUUAAUUCAUUUGCCUCAUGACACACUCCACACAGCCUGUUAGGCAGUAUGGCAUUUAUCUCCCUUGAUAUUACUUGAUCUAAAUCCUAAAAGCACAAAGACACUAAAAGUGGGUCAGGAUUUAGGCAACGUACACUGCCUCAACACAGUGUGUAGCGUUAACUAACACACUGCAGCUUUCUCCAUCAAGGACAAGUACCUGAGCAAACUCAGCUCUGUUUGGACAGCUGCUUGAUGAGCCAGAAUAGAGAAUGAGGGCUUAUGAUCAACAGAAGUCAAAAAGGGCCUCUUCAGCACCACGGCACUUUUGAUGAAAUGAUGUCUGUGCAGAGUCAUAAGUCUUUGGUGCGUGUGGGUGAUGUUUGUCUCUUAUUUUUCUUUAAAAAAAAACAAAAAAAACUGACAUCUAAGUCAGGUGACAGGCAAUAAGGAUUUACUGCUUGACUCGCAAUUUUCAGGAAGAUAUGAGAGCAAAUGUAGACAGAAUACUGGGUUGCAUUUAAGCUUUGCUUUUGCAAUUGUCUGCUUUUUCAUUUUUGUCCAGAAGCCUCAUUAGAGCUGUUUUACAGAUGUGAUGAGUCCUGACAUACUGAGAUGCUCUGUGCAAAUGGAAAAACUAAGCAACAGAAUUGCACAAAUUAUGCUUUUGACUAAUGAAGGGUUGCAGAGCAAAAUGUCUUCACAUAUGCAGUGCUUGUUAAAUAUCCUGUAAGAAAUAUGGUAUUUGUAACAAGAUUGAAAAUAUUGUUUUAAAAGUGUUCCUAACAAUACCAACAAUUGACUAAAGGAAAAGAUAAGAUAUUAUUUGAAUGUUGAAUGACAUGUAUUUAUUUUGUUGCUGUAGGAGGAAUCAAAUAAAAAAAGAUAGAAGUUCAAAUCAGAACUCUUCAUCCUGCUUGUUAAACAAAGCAAAGGAGCUGACAGCAUGUUGAAGAAUUAUGGAGGUUUUGGAGCACAUCUGUGACCACUACACCAAUACUGCUGCAGCUGAAUUACUGGUGCAAAAGGAGCGCAUGCUGCAGGAUUUCCUCCUAUUAAAGUGGGUGUUUUAUUGAAAUGGACUCAGAGAGUCUUGUUUCAAUUGUAGAAAUGUUUCCUGAUUUAAAAACCUUGGCUGAAGUGAUGCUUAUAAUUCCAGUCUCUAGCAGCAGAGCGUGGAGUUUGCCUCCAGAAAAGCAUAAAAAAUUCCCAUUAGAAGUAAUUUGUUUGAGGCAGAGGCAAAGUUCAAAAUAUCAUAACAAUAGCUUCUGUAACAAGUUUGAAACAUUUGAUAAUGAGUGAGCAGAUGAGGAAUUCAGCUUCUUGAGGAACAUGAGAAAGUUAUUAGAUUAUGUGUUCAGGCAGCAGAGGGUGAAUGUUCAUAUUUUAGGUGCAUUGUUUCAUUUCAUUCUUUGUACUUACUGGGGCCAUAGUCAGAGGUUUAGUUAUUUUGGAGAAAAUGUUACAUGUGUUCAUCUGCUUCAUGUGUGAUAGCAUUAAUUGGAUUCUCUGUUGAGGUUGAAUAUUAAAAUGAAUGAAAAUUAAAUACAACAAAAUAUGUCAAUUUCAUUUUAAAAAUUGACAGGUAAGCAGAGUUUAUGACAAGAUGUUUUCGAUCAUGCCAGUCAAAAAAACAAAACAACAAAAAUAUCUACUUCAACUACUGGUGCACUCACUUAUUUGAUAUUCCUGUUAAAAAGCACCUUUUUAUACUGAUUGCUUGUUUUUACGUAGAGUGUGGCUGCAAAUAUUUUUCUGUCAUCAAGAAGUGCUCUUAAAAAUACUUAUCUGCUUUGAGAAAUACUGGAAAGGUCUCUUAUGAUUUAUAGGUUUUAUAGUUUUAUGGUCUCAAACUAUGAUGAAGUUUUCCCUCUAAGGUUUGAAAGUUCUCAAUCUUACAUUGUUUUUUAAUGUAUGAGAAAUACGUACACUCCACAUAGGAGUUGUUUGUUAAAUUGCCUGUUUAUUGUCUCCACAUGUACACGAUAAAGAUAUUGGACUACAUAUAUUGAUUUUAUAAUUUAGGGUAAUGAGGUACAUGUAUGUUGACAUGGUCUUCUAUGUAGGCUUUUACAUUUUUAUUUUCAUUCUUCUGUACUGAUUUUCUUCUAUUCUGUGAAUGCCCUGAAUAUUUUUGUACUUUUUUGUAAUUUAGAACCACAACCUAUUAAAUUUCAAUUCCAGUCAUGCAAACACGGUUGUCUACUGAAGCUUGUUGCAUAAUAAAUUGUGCAAGGUUAACAUUGUGAGUGAGUUUCUUGUAUUUUCUGAGACUAAUCCAUCGUUUUCCUAUAAAUCUUUUUUUAGGUAA